UAAGGUGGGAGCCAUGCGGACCAUAUCUCU
rnacentral:piRNA from 1 species